GGGGCUCCAAGCCCAUUGUUUCACAUGUUGUCGAAGGGGCUAACCCCGACACAGGAGAACUGCCAACUGCGGUGGAAACUUUUCAAAAGUUUCACCAUAAAGGCAACGAUUGGCGCAACGAGUUCGCGCAACAAGCUUACGAGCAAAUGGUUGAAAUAGCGGCAACUCAACCAGCGCCCACUGCAGAUGAGCCCGAAGAGCCUGCUGUCGAUCCUACAC